GAAUCUUCUGAAAUGUCUGCCGAAUGCCUGACACUGAAGUGAUAUAAGACCUGCAUUAGAAGAGCUUCAUCUGAGUGUAAUAUGCUGCCCUGGGAGGGUGAGUGCUCAAUGAGACCCGGCAUACAGCAUCAACAGCACCUUUUUGGCUCAAUCAUAAGCAUUCAUGCUUGAAGAGGCUGAGUAUGCAAAUGUCAUUGGAAAAAGAAGAGAGACAAGAAACACUGAAGACAACCAUGAGAUACUAAGAACGAGUUAAAAGAGAUAAAAGCGUGCAAAUGCCAAACAGAAGCUGAAAUAUUGAAGGAUUCUGAAGGAUUAAGGUCUUCAUGUGUGGUGCAAACAUUUGAAGCAAAUGCAACAGAAUUGCCCCGAGUCUGCUCAAGAGCCCAUCGCUGCUUCCUAUGUGGUCACACUACAAAGUCAAACUAAUAAUAAUGUAUGGUUGGUUACCCUUCUGAAAAUAACUGCAAGUAUUGAGUGCUGUCAUCAUGGAGAACCCAGACCUCCUGAAGUAAGAGGGAAAAUUGAAUUGACUCGCAGGAGGCCAGAAUGCCACCCACAGAGGUGCUUGAUUGCCAGAAAAUGCUGAGUUCCUGCUACCUGGAAUCAUUGGUGUCUGAUAUCCAGCAUCGUACUGAAAGGGGCAGAGGAACAUGCAGAGAAUAAGUCUCAGAGGAAAGAAAGACUUUAUGUGAACAAAUAAUUCCAUAGGUAGCAUUGCUCAAUUUGAACACAAUUAUGAUCUGGCUCAUCCUGCAGAAGACUCUCAGUAGGGGAUGACAUACGUUGCAUAAUGGGAAAGCCUGCCUAUGGAAAAGGUGACAUGCUCCUUUCAGCUCCCCUGCUGUUGAUGCGUGGUGUUGUUAAAGAAAAGGGUUUUUUUUCCAUUAUUGUUCUUUGCUGGCAGACAAAACUAAUGGUCAGACCUGAAACAGUGAGUGCUUAAGUACAAAAUGUGACAAUCAAGCAAAAGAAGACUGCAGAAAAAAGGUAGAGGAGAAUGUAUUGUGUGGCUGAACAUAGCCAAUGGAAUGGCCAGACUGAAGUCGAGCCUGGGCAGGGCUGCAAGGUAAAAGUACUGAAAUGGCAAAAAUCUUAUGCUGUGUAGAUCAGACUCUCCUGCAUUCAUCCAGGAUGACUGGAAACAGAAAGACCAUUAUUGCAGUCUCAGGUCUAUGGGAAUGGCAUUAAGAAAGUGUCAUAUAUUCUUUAAAUUAUGCCCUGCUUGCAAAAUCCCCUACUCUUUGAAGACUUCUAGAAGAAAAG
rnacentral:lncRNA from 1 species